rnacentral:rRNA from 1 species
GAAGGGUGCAAGCGUUACUCGGAAUUACUGGGCGUAAAGCGUGCGUAGGUGGUUCGUUAAGUCUGAUGUGAAAGCCCUGGGCUCAACCUGGGAAUGGCAUUGGAUACUGGCGAUCUAGAGUGCGGUAGAGGGCAGUGGAAUUCCCGGUGUAGCAGUGAAAUGCGUAGAGAUCGGGAGGAACAUCUGUGGCGAAGGCGACUGCCUGGACCAGCACUGACACUGAGGCACGAAAGCGUGGGGAGCAAACAGGAUUAGAUACCCUGGUAGUCCACGCCCUAAACGAUGCGAACUGGAUGUUGGGUGCAACUAGGCACUCAGUAUCGAAGCUAACGCGUUAAGUUCGCCGCCUGGGGAGUACGGUCGCAAGACUG